UACGUAGGGUGCGAGCGUUAAUCGGAAUUACUGGGCGUAAAGCGUGCGCAGGCGGUUCGUUAUGUCCGUUGUGAAAUCCCCGGGCUCAACCUGGGAACUGCAUUUGUGACUGCAUCGCUGGAGUGCGGAAGAGGUGAGUGGAAUUCCGAGUGUAGAGGUGAAAUGCGUAGAUAUCGAGAGGAACACCUGCGGCGAAGGCGGGUUGCUGGGCUGACACUGACGCUGAGGCGCGAAAGCUAGGGGAGCGAACGGG
rnacentral:rRNA from 1 species